UACGUAGGGUGCAAGCGUUAAUCGGAAUUACUGGGCGUAAAGCGUGCGCAGGCGGUUUUGUAAGUCUGACGUGAAAUCCCCGGGCUCAACCUGGGAAUUGCGUUGGAGACUGCAUAGCUGGAGUACGGCAGAGGGGGAUGGAAUUCCGCGUGUAGCAGUGAAAUGCGUAGAUAUGCGGAGGAACACCGAUGGCGAAGGCAGUCCCCUGGGCCUGUACUGACGCUCAUGCACGAAAGCGUGGGGAGCAAACAGG
rnacentral:rRNA from 1 species